rnacentral:lncRNA from 1 species
CCAGGCACUGUGAAUGGGGAAACUGAGAAUUCUACGGCUGGGUUGAAAAUCAGAACUGAGGAGAUGCAGUGCCAGGUGUGUUAUGAUUUGGGCGCAGCCUACUUCCAGCAGGGCUCCACAAAUUCAGCUGCCUAUGAGAGCGCUCGAGAGAAGUUUUUUAGAACUAAAGAACUAAUUGCAGAGAUGAGAAGCGGUUAGCUGGCUACUGUCAAGCGUGUGAUGUUCUUGUACCUUCCUCUGAUACUAACUCUCAGCAGGUGACUCCAUACAGUCAAGUCCAUAUUUGUUUGCGGUCUGGCAGCUAUCAGGAGGUGGUGCAGAUUUUCAUCGAAGAUAACGUAACUUUCACUUUACCUGUCCAGUUCCGGCAGUCAGUAUUAAGGGAGCUCUUUCAGAAAGCUCAACAGGGAAAUGAAGCUCUAGAUGAAAUCUGUUUUAAAAUUUGUUCCUGCAACACAGUACGAGAUAUACUGGAAGGCAGAACAAUUAGUGUCCAGUUCAAUCAACUGUUUCUCAGACCAAACAAAGAAAAAAUAGAUUUUCU